AUAGCAUAUCUAAAUUGGCUACAGCGUUGCUGUCCGGACAGAGCAAAAAAAACAAGGCAUCAGUAUUGUUGAGUAUUAGCUUGUACCUGGUUCGGAGGCUAAGCUCGGCCAUGAGAGACUUCAAAUGGAACUGCAGUUUCUGGCAGCACUUGGCCCUGCCCGCCUGGGCUUAAAGGAUCCUUGAGCUCUGGCAGGGGCAGAGCUGGAAAGAAAUAAGAACCCGAAGAGGAGAGAGGUGCUCAGGCUCCCGGCAGAGGGGAACUCACCAAUCCUGCCCUUGUUGCAGUCCCCUAGAGUUGCGUUGGGGGCCUCAUCCUCAGUACAGCUCAGCCCCAGUUCGAGAACUCCCUGGACCUGGGCUCAGCCAAGCUGCCCAGAACCCGCCCGGCCUUCUCUAGCCCACCACCUUCCCCGGUGCACAGCAUCGGAAAAUGCCAGCAGACCAGCUAUUAGACUCAUCCCGACCUAACAGCGCUAACAGAUGGCGACCAGGCAGCGAAAUCCCCUCCUAUAUGUAACUAAUAAACCGCUUGUGUCUUAACAGGGUAA
rnacentral:lncRNA from 1 species